rnacentral:misc_RNA from 1 species
UUUAAAUGCAUUAUGUCUCUUCAUAUUUAUGCUUGAAUUAUUUAGCUGUGGAUAGAUGUUAUGGACAAUUGCAGUUGGAGAAAAAAAGGAACCUUCUUUUGUUGGUCUAACGAAUUCUUUUUAUUUAAUAGAAGUGUCAAUAUUCACAUACUAGCUCAUUGGACACUAGAGUUAGAUCCUCAAAAAUAACCAAGAGGAAACUAUGGUUAGUUGGUCAGCUAAACAAAACAGAACCAAGUCUACAAACAACAAAAACAACUAAGCCUAUCUAAACAGCUUGUCCAUUUACCCACUAUAUGUAACUGUAUAACUAUGACUCUAAUGAUAGCUUUGCUUUCAUGUGCUUUCUGACUGAAUCUCAACUUUUUCGAUCUAACCAGAGAUGAUAGCAG